AGGAAAUGGCGGCGCGAGGGGGUCCGGACAGGAACGGCCGCUGGAAAGGUCCAUCCUCAUGCAUGUUCUAAUGAUCCAAAGGUACUUCAUUGUGUUUCUCUCCUGAAAUGACAUUGCAGAGAGCUGCCAGUACAAGCUAAAGACAACACCCGGGACUUUUAAUAAGAAACCAAAAACCUGUGAAUGAUGCAUGGUAAACAGCCUGCAGUUCAAAUGACAGUUUUUCCUCCCUAGCUAAAUUUAUUUUAAGAUUAAACUCUUUCCCUGCUCUACUGUUCAUAGUGUUUUUGGACCCCUCUCUGGAACUUACUUUCUCUAUGCCACACUUCCUCA